AGAUAUUUGUUCCUGUCUGCGCGAUGAACUGAGAACCCAACUGGCUGUACGGACUCAGACAGUAUAUCCCGAGAGAGCCAUGUUUCCGUGAAACAGAGUGUUACAAUCCCUAAUGACUCUCUGGAAGGAAAUCCUCGCCCUAAGUUCGUCAACUUUAUUAUCCAGACUGGAAGAGGUGGGUACUCGGAAGAGGAGGGUGGUGUGCGAUCCUCCUGAGUCGGAGUAGAAGACCACUCUGAGUACCUCUUUACCGCCAGCGGACAUGCAAGUUUCAUAUUACAGAGGGUGGGGGUAAGAACACGAGAUGUGCACAACCGUGGUGGAUUAGGUACAGACUUAUACAACCAGAGUAACAGGAUUGUACAUACCUAUCAUUUAAAGUAAUGCUCAUACACAUAUUUUUCCUAAGAGAUAGAAGCUCUUAUGCGGUCUCCUGUUCUAUUGAUUUUCUUUCAACAUUCUUCGUUGUCUAGCAGCCAAAGGCAUUAUCCUAGUCAUAUUGUAACGGCUGUCUUCUGUAGAAAUGGACCAAGGCGCAGCAGAUACAGAGAGCUGUGAAAGCCUGUAUGCAGAUGAGGUCCCAAAACAAUUGCUGACAAUUGCCAUGUAGGGCACUGCCUCGUGGGGGAAUUCAAGUAUGUGUGAAAGCUAUCUGUGUCCUGCAUAACUUCAUGAUAGACAUGAGGACCAGGAGGGGACCUGCAGCUCGCCACCAUCUGCCAUAGGAGAGGUCUGCUGCUCUGCAGGAUGUUCCAAAGAUCGGGGCCAACAACACAGCUCGGGAGACAAUCCGUAUGCAGGAGAUCUUCACCUCCUACUUCUUCUAAGAGGGUGAGGGUGCUGUUCAGAAUAAGGGGGAUGUCUAUACAAAAACAACAGGCGCUUAAGAGUCACCCAUAUUGAAUGUAGAACAACUAGACACCCUACAACCCAAACCUACAGUACACACUCGUGUAUCAAUCUUAUUGAUGGAUUGUGUUGUGCAGUAAGUAGGCUCCCCUGUAUAACUGUGGCUCCUUCCACCUUCAAAGAAUAGGCAAGAGGACCAACCAUGGAGAAUAAUAAGACACUCAAUUAUUUAUAUUUAUGCAUCAACGCUAUUUGUUUGUCCUUGUGUGCCUCGUCUGUUUUUCAGUAUAAAGUACUCUGCAGCCACUCCGUGUGGGACACCAGGUUAUAUCAGCUGUGUCGGUGAACCCCUCCAGCUUGUGAACUGCCUGACACAGAGGGCACAGCAUGAUCAGAGGUGAAAGGUCACUUGGUCAGGUCAACAGGAAGUAUUAUUAAAGAGAUGUUUACAUUGAAAUACAGAUAGAGAUGUAGUAGUCCCAGAGUUAAUGAUCCAAGGUCAGUUUUGCAUUCAAUUCCUGAUGAUUAUGAUGACUGACAGUGUUGGGAUUAAAAUAACACAAGGCUUAAUCAUGCUCUUUCUCUCAUUUGCAGGUACUGUAUGUUUUGAUGUGAGAGAGGAUGCCAACUCCCAGUCCUGUCAUUGCCACCUCACGGGCCUACUGGGUGCCCAAGGCUGGUUAGGAAACACCGCUAGACACUUAUGUAAUUGUGUUGACCUGAGAGAAUAUGAAGUUUAGUAGCACUAUAAUUCAUUCAUCAUAUGCUAUCUUCCCUGCUCCUCAGUUCUUAACUCUUCCCCUUUGUCUUUUACACUCUCACACCUCUCUCCCAAACUUCUUU
rnacentral:lncRNA from 1 species